UUACUACUCCCUCCGUUCCAUAGUUCUCAUCGAAAUAUUACAUGUGUCUAGAUGUUUUUUAGGAAUAGAUACAUCCAUUUUUGGGUAAAUUUGAGACAAGAAUUAUGGAACGGAGGGAGUACCCA
rnacentral:pre_miRNA from 1 species